UUCCUUGUGAGGUCUACCUAGUUGCCUUUUAUCUCCCGCCGGUGGCUUUACUACCUCAUCCAAAAUAUGUUGUGGAACAUCCCAUUUGGCUUCAUCAGGAAGAGGAUUUACUGGCAUUUCAUAGGUAAGAAGAAGGCUCUUCCUUGUGUAAUACGGUGAGCAAUAGUUGUCAGGCCUUUCAUUCCUAUGCCUUAAUGCUGCCAAAGC
rnacentral:lncRNA from 1 species